rnacentral:rRNA from 1 species
CCUACGGGCGGCAGCAGUGGGGAAUUUUGGACAAUGGGCGAAAGCCUGAUCCAGCGACGCCGCGUGGAGGACGAAGGUCUUCGGAUUGUAAACUCCUUUUGCAGGGGACGAAAAAAAUGACGGUACUCUGCGAAUAAGCCACGGCUAACUACGUGCCAGCAGCCGCGGUAAUACGUAGGUGGCGAGCGUUACUCGGAAUCACUAGGCGUAAAGCGCGUGUAGGCGGUAUUUUAAGUCUGUUGUGAAAUCUUAUGGCACAACCAUAAAAUGUCGACAGAUACUGAAGUACUAGAGUGAGGCAGGGGAAACUGGAAUUCCAGGUGUAGCGGUGGAAUGCGUAGAUAUCUGGAGGAACACCGGAGGCGAAGGCGGUCUCCUGGCCCGUUACUGACGCUCAGGCAGGAAAGCGUGGGUAGCAAACAGGAUUAGAUACCCGUGUAGU